GUGCUCCCUUUGGCAGUAUGUAUACUAAAACUGGAACAAUUCAGAGAAGAUUAGCAUCUCCCAUGCUCAAGGAUGACAUGCAAAUUCGUGAAGUAUUCCCUAUUUUU
ensembl:snRNA U6 U6 spliceosomal RNA